rnacentral:rRNA from 1 species
CAGAACGAACGCUGGCGGCGCGUCUUAAGCAUGCAAGUCGAACGGCAAGAGGAGAGCUUGCUCUUCUCCUAGAGUGGCGGACUGGUGAGUAACACGUGGGUGACAUAGCCUUAGGAUGGGGAUAGCUACUAGAAAUAGUAGAUAAUACCGAAUACGAACGCUGUUGUUAGAGGACAGUGGGGAAAGGAGCUAAGGCUCCGCCUGAGGGAUGGCCCGCGGCCCAUUAGCUAGUUGGUAAGGUAACGGCCUACCAAGGCAAUGAUGGGUAUCCGGCCUUAGAGGGCGAACGGACACAUUGGGACUGAGAUACGGCCCAGACUCCUACGGGAGGCAGCAGCUAAGAAUAUUCCGCAAUGGACGAAAGUCUGACGGAGCGACGCCGCGUGGAUGAAGAAGGCCGAAAGGUUGUAAAAUCCUUUUAUUCCGGAAGAAUAAUCACGGGAGGGAAUGCCCGUGAGGUGACGUACGGGAUGAAUAAGCAACGC